rnacentral:misc_RNA from 1 species
GAUGAAGAACGUAGCGAAAUGCGAUAAGUAAUGUGAAUUGCAGAAUUCAGUGAAUCAUCGAAUCUUUGAACGCACCUUGCACCCUUUGGCAUUCCGAAGGGUAUGCUCGUUUGAGUGUCAUUGUACUCUCACACUUCUGAUCCUUUGGAUUGGGAGCGGUGGACUUGGGUGUUGCUGCUUUACUGUGGCUCACCUCAAAUGCAUUCGUGCAACUCUUGGUUGGACAUAGUACGGCGUGAUAAGUAUCUUCGCCGGCACCUCGCAAGAGGGUGGCUGAUCAGGAGCUCUGUGCUUUCCAACUGUCUUCAGACAACAACUGACAACUUGACCUCAAAUCGAGUAGGACCACCCGCUGAACUUAAGCAUAUCAAUAAGCGAGGA